rnacentral:lncRNA from 1 species
CACAAGGGAGGUAGAGAGAGAUUUGACUACAGAAGAGGGGAAGGCAAUGCGAUGACUGAAGCAGACGCAGUGGCAGCCACGAGCCCCAGAAGAGGCAAACAACAGGGAGACUCAACUCUACCGACAUCUUGAUUUUAUCCUUGUAAGACUCAUUUUGGAAUUCUGGUCUUCAGAACUAUGAGAGGAUAAAUUUCUGCUGUCUUAAGCCACCAAGUUUGUGGUAAUUGGUUACAGCAGCAACAGGAAAGGAAUAGAUUCUUCCAGCUGUUGGGUACCCUGGGCUCCAACACUUCACACUGGAAACUCCAGCAGCUGUCGGGAGGUAUGGAAGGAACCAAGAACUGAUGGCUGAGCUUGAAGCCCAUGGAAAACAAUCAUGGCAGCUACCUGGGCCAAUCGCUCUGCUUUAUAGAGGAGGAGGUUGAGUCUCAAAAUGGGAAAGUGAUUUGCCUGAGGUCAUAGAGUAAGUAGCAAAGUAAAGGGUAGAGAGCUCAGGCCCAUGGUGCUCCAGCUCCAUGAGAUGGAGUAGAGACAGAAAGGCUCUCUCGAUUCAGUUGUCAAUGCAACCCUAGGCAAGGGUAGGAAGUCUGCCUUACCUCCCUCCCUUUUUCUGGGCUCUUUCUCUGUUUCAAGGACCACUCUCCACUGCUAUCUAGAGUCUUUCUAGAGGCUCCUGUGUAAAACUCCUCAUGUGACAAGGGUCAGAAACCUUAGCUCAAGCCAAAGAGAGAAUUUAUUGGCUCAUAAUUAGACAGUCUGAGGGAUGUGCUGGCUUUAGGUAUGGCUUAAUCCAUAACCAAUCUAUAAAUGAAAAUUGGGGUGAGUUUAUUCUGAGCCAAAAUGUGAGGACCAUAGCCCGGGGCCUUCCUUCUGCAAGGAAGGAAGGGCACCAAAGAAAUGAGGUGUACAGAGUGGUUAUAUACCCUCAAAGAGCAUGUUUCACAUAUGGUUGAAACAUCCCUUUUAUAAUAGUCACGAGACUGCUCUGUUGGCACAGAGAUUGAUGGACACAGCAGGUAGUAGGUCUGCUGUCUCAGUGGACACAGCAGGGUGACAGGUCUGUUGUCUUGAGCUGGUGGUCACAGGUGAGCACAGCAAUCAGUUCCUAGCCUAGGGAGAGAUGAUUAUCCUUAAGGAAAUGCCAAUGUGGGGGAAGUUGCUCCUUUAUUUUAAUCUUUAUCUUAAGAAAUGCUUAAAGUGGAUAUACAAUGCGUCCACAACGGCCAUGUCAGACCUUUUUGGAAAAACAAAGUCAGGCUGAAUUAGGUUUACACCAAAGGCCUUCCUCAUAUACUCUAAUAUAGCCUAUUGCUUGCCAUUUCUAUUUGUCGGGCUGGAUCCAGGUGUUCCACAAUUCCAUCUCCCUCUUUCCAUCACUCCUCUCCUUUUUUCAGCUUUAUUUCAUUUUCAGACAAACUCUCACCUCAUGGUGAAAAUUUAGACUCUAGCAACUCAGGGUUUACUUGGUCAUUACUGCUCUGAGUUACCUCAGAGAAAGAGGUCUUCUCUUUCCAGUGCCCCUUUGUCAAAUCUCGUGGAAGGACACUGACUGGUCUUGGAUGAGCCACAGUCCUCCCUGAGCCAGUCCCUGUGGUCUGGAGAAUGCUGUGUUCUGAAAUUUAUUCAAACAGGAAAGAAGCGGUAUAUAACCAGAAAGAGGAGUGGAUCAAUGAUGGGUAUUCCACACAUAUCCAUGCACCUGUCCUUCUUGAUGACCUUCUGUUCCUGACUUAUUCCUACUCCCCUUUUCUACCAUUAAAGCUUCCAAAUUCAGCGUUCCAUUCCAACAGGCCUGGUCUCUGACAUGUUGUGGUGUCAAUGGCAGAGAGCCGUGUGUUCCAUAAAUAUGCAUUGGUUAUAAAUAAGUAACGGUUUUCUUUUUUAUUCGAUCUGGGGAAGUUUUAUUUUGUGAGGGACGUUCUGUUGCUUCUAUAGAAGUCCUUGCAGACAGGGACCAGGCCUUGCUCAUCUCUGGGUUCACCCCAGCAUGUAGCAUUGUGCUUCUCUCAAGUGGGGGCCCAAUAAAUGCCUGUUGAGAACCCUCCUCCGCCUCUUCUGCUGCUGUUCCCAUCCCCCCACCCUGUGCUCUGUCCGUGCUGAAGGUUCCACCGUUCUCAAACCCCAGAGACCCUUAAUCUAUACCAGCAUGCAUUUCCCCUGCCCAAAAUAUCCCCCCACCUCCUUCGACAUACCUAAGCUCCCUGAAGGCGGGGACCACAUCUAUCUUUUUAUCUGUGUGUCAGUCAGCGUUCUGGCAGGAACAGAAGGCGCACUCAAAUCAGAGGACUUGAGGAGAGUGACUAUUUGCAAGGGAUGGGCAGGGUUUAGGGGUGCCAAAAAGGAAUAGCACUGUGCCCCGGGCUGGUGACCCCAUUCUACCUUUCUACCCUGAAUAGACAAGUGAGGGGAUCUGGGACUCGAAGGGAGAACUUUGUGAAGGCCACCUGGCACGAGCCGUGGCCUCUGGUGGGGGGAUGCAAUCAAUCCUAGGCAACCCUGGAGGGCCAUU